rnacentral:rRNA from 1 species
UACGGGGGGGGCAAGCGUUGUUCGGAAUUACUGGGCGUAAAGGGCUCGUAGGCGGCCAACUAAGUCGGACGUGAAAUCCCUCGGCUCAACCGGGGAACUGCGUCCGAUACUGGAUGGCUCGAGUUCGGGAGAGGGAUGCGGAAUUCCAGGUGUAGCGGUGAAAUGCGUAGAUAUCUGGAGGAACACCGGUGGCGAAGGCGGGUCUCUGGGCCGAUACUGACGCUGAGGAGCGAAAGCGUGGGGAGCGAACAGG